rnacentral:ncRNA from 1 species
UUCAUAGGGGAGCUGGAAAUCGGCUGAGAGGGACUUAUAGUCCGACCCUUAGAACCUGAUGCGGAUAAUUCCGCCGUAGGAAGGAGAGAAUU